rnacentral:rRNA from 1 species
CCUACGGGAGGCAGCAGUGAGGAAUAUUGGUCAAUGGCCGUAAGGCUGAACCAGCCAAGUCGCGUGAAGGAAGAAGGAUCUAUGGUUUGUAAACUUCUUUUAUAGGGGAAUAAAGGUAUCCACGUGUGGAUCUUUGCAUUUACCCUAUGAAUAAGCAUCGGCUAACUCCGUGCCAGCAGCCGCGGUACUACGGAGGAUGCGAGCGGUACCCGGAUUUAUUGGGUUUAAAGGGUGCGUAGGGUGUUUUUUAAGUCAGCGGUGAAAGUUUGUGGCUCAACCAUAAAAUUGCCGUUGAAACUGGAAGACUUGAGUGUGUGUGAGGUAGGCGGAAUGCGUGGUGUAGCGGUGAAAUGCAUAGAUAUCACGCAGAACACCGAUUGCGAAGGCAGCUUACUAAGCCAUAACUGACACUGAAGCACGAAAGCGUGGGGAUCAAACAGGAUUAGAUACCCGGGUAGUC